rnacentral:rRNA from 1 species
AUUGAACGCUGGCGGCAGGCUUAACACAUGCAAGUCGAGCGAGCGGCGGACGGGAGAGCAAUGUCUGGGAAACUGCCUGAUGGAGGGGGAACACUACCGGAAACGGUAGCCAAUAACGCACACCAUCAGAUGGGCCCAGAUGGGUGUAGCGAGUGGGGGGGGUAAUGGAUCACCUAGGAGAAGAUCCCUAGCUGGUGUGAGAGGAUGACCAGCCCCACUGGAACUUAGACACGGUCCAGACUCCUACGGGAGGCAGCAGUGGGGAAUAUUGGACAAUGGGCGCAAGCCUGAUGCAGCCAUGCCGCGUGUGUGAAGAAGGCCUUCGGGUUGUAAAGCACUUUCAGCGGGGAGGCGUUACUCGCAGAAGAAGCACCGGCUAACUCCGUGCCAGCAGCCGCGGUAAUUC